UACAGAGGUCUCAAGCGUUGUCCGGAUUUAUUGGGCGUAAAGAGCGUGUAGGCGGCUAGGUAGGUCCGUUGUGAAAACUCGAGGACUCAACCUCGAGACGUCGAUGGAAACCAUCUAGCUAGAGUCCGGAAGAGGAGAGUGGAAUUCCUGGUGUAGCGGUAAAAUGCGCAGAUAUCAGGAAGAACACCCGUGGCGAAGGCGGCUCUCUGGUACGUGACUGACGCUGAGACGCGAAAGCGUGGGGAGCAAACAGG
rnacentral:rRNA from 1 species